rnacentral:tRNA from 1 species
UUGGGGGUCAUCUAAUGGUAGGAUAAUAGGCUCUGAACCUAUCAAUCAUGGUCCGAAUCCAUGCCCCCAAG